UACGAAGGUGGCAAGCGUUGUUCGGAUUUACUGGGCGUACAGGGAGCGUAGGCGGUUGGAUAAGCCCUCCGUGAAAUCUCCAGGCUUAACCUGGAAAGUGCAGAGGGGACUGUUCAGCUAGAGGAUGGGAGAGGAGCGCGGAAUUCCCGGUGUAGCGGUGAAAUGCGUAGAUAUCGAGAGGAACACCUGCGGCGAAGGCGGGUAGCUGGGCCGACACUGACGCUGAGGCGCGAAAGCCAGGGGAGCGAACGGG
rnacentral:rRNA from 1 species